CCGUUUCACAGGCAAUUCUAUCCAACCUUCACAAAAGGGUACUGAAAUAGAUCCGUACUGUGAACCAAAAGCCACUCUAUUCAAGGAAUUGGGGGAGAGAAGCUCAAACAGAGAAGCUCAUUUGCUUUUGGGGCAUUUCCACUUUGAGUGAACAGGAGGGUUAGCGGUCAUGAGCUUGGAAUAAGCUGGCAACCCAAGUUUGAGUUUUCCACCCGGCCGAAUUGCACCCUUGUCCAGAUUUGCCUGUCUUGACCAUGAAACACCCAAGGAAUGAUGGCGGGCCCCAUGAACGAGGAGGAGCAAGAGGACUUGUGAACGAGACGAGCGAACAAGCGAGACGAACAGGAUGACGAGGACGAGGAGGAAGAUGGCAACUAAAUGACUUACUUAGGAAAGGAAUACCCAGCACUUCAGUCGAAAGUGAGUAUUAAUUUUACUUAACUUUAUGUUCAUAGAAUGAUUGAUUCGCCAACGAGUUAGAGUUGGCCUAUCUCACUAACCCUUAAACAUAGGGUUGAUAGGGAAUUUUGAUCAACAUCUGUCCAGAUUAUUCCAUUCCAAAGAUUUGUUUAGAUGAAAGUGUAUUCGAGAAGCAGGACGUACUUCAACGUCACAAAAAAAAACUGCUUGUGAAAUGUUAGAAAAACCCGCAACUGUAGCUUGAUAUAAUUACAAUACGAAAACAGUAUUCUAUCUUGAAUUCAUAUAUUUGGAAAAAAAGAAAUGUCUCUAUAUAGUUGAGUGACACAUUGGCAAGGAACAAAGAGUAAGAUACAAUGGUAUCGACCAGGAUGUUGAGGUACAAUAAAUGCCGAUGCAAGAUAGCCAAGAUUUCAUGAUAGCCAAGUAGUUUCCAAUGGCCGGGGGCAAGGCAAUGAAUGGCAUCGUGCUGGACUCGUAGGUAUUAGGAGCCGAAAUAGAUUGCUCACUGUUGCUUACAUUCUUGCGCAUCUUUUCCUUUACCACCCUUUCCAGGAACAAAGUCAGGAUCGUCCUCUUCCUCUUCACCUUCCUCGUCACCAGAAUCUUCUUCAUCUUCGUCAAAAUCAUCUUCGAGCGCUUCACCAGUGAAGAAAAGAACGGCUCGGGGAAUGAUUCGUUCACGCACGUAGUGCCCGAUUUCGAAAUCAGCGGUUAGAAGAUCUUGUGUCAUGGGGUCCAUGUCUUCCUCAUUCUCUUCACAUGCGGGGGGGUCAAAGAAAUUAAAGAAACUAUCGUUCUUCACAGUUUUGGUUAUGGUGCGGACGGAUCCCUUGGAUUUGUGUUUCUGCUUUGUCUUGACGGUUUUGACUGUGAGAUUCUUGCCUUGCUUCCAAUUAAUGGGACAACCUUUGCACUUGACGAUCUCUGGACCUUCGAAGCUAAAUGGAUCGUCUUCGCUUGGCUCACAUUUCAUGAAGUACUCUUUGGUCAGAACGGAGUCAGAGAAAAAAUCGUUGGUAGCGAAAUGAAAGUGAAGGGUAAAUCCCAUAGGUUUUUCAGCAAAGGUCACGGUUAUAUCUU